AUAUGAGCACGGUCAAGGAGUCGGAUAUGAUGUGUCAGUAAAGAUUAACUGAGAUCGAAGAGAGCACAAAAAGGUUUCACAAGUUGCUUGCUAAUUUGAGCAUUAUAGAAUAUCCACACAUAUGAUAUCAAGAAUCAAACUAUGCAGGACUGAUUCUUCAUGGCGGACGAGAAACGUAAUCGAUGGUAACCAUUUAAUUCCGGAAUUACACGUGUAUGGACACUAAAGUGACAUUUACCAUAGAAACUGUCUGUCCACUGGAUGGGGGAGAGGUGUAGUGAUUUUGUGUGGACUCAAACCAUCCAGUAUAUUGAAGUGAAACAUGGUGUUUGUGAUUGGACUAACUAUAAAACUACACUUCUCCCAA